UGGGGAAUUUCCGCAAUGGGUGAAAGCCUGACGGAGCAACGCCGCGUGAGGGAUGAAGGCCUCUGGGCUGUAAACCUCUUUUAUCAAGGAAGAAGAUCUGACGGUACUUGAUGAAUAAGCCACGGCUAAUUCCGUGCCAGCAGCCGCGGUAAUACGGGAGUGGCAAGCGUUAUCCGGAAUUAUUGGGCGUAAAGCGUCCGCAGGCGGCCCAGAAAGUCUGCUGUUAAAACGUGGAGCUUAACUCCAUCAUGGCAGUGGAAACUGUUGGGCUUGAGUGUGGUAGGGGCAGAGGGAAUUCCCGGUGUAGCGGUGAAAUGCGUAGAUAUCGGGAAGAACACCAGUGGCGAAGGCGCUCUGCUGGGCCAUAACUGACGCUCAUGGACGAAAGCCAGGGGAGCGAAAGGGAUUAGAUACCCCUGUAGUCA
rnacentral:rRNA from 1 species